ACGUGAAAUUCCGUCGGAAUCUGGGAGGACCAUCUCCUAAGGCUAAAUACUCUCUAGUGACCGAUAGUGAACCAGUACCGUGAGGGAAAGGUGAAAAGCACCCCGGAAGGGGAGUGAAAUAGAACCUGAAACCGUGUGCUUACAAGUAGUCAGAGCCCGUUAAUGGGUGAUGGCGUGCCUUUUGUAGAAUGAACCGGCGAGUUACGAUUUGAUGCAAGGUUAAGCAGUAAAUGUGGAGCCGUAGCGAAAGCGAGUCUGAAUAGGGCGUUUAGUAUUUGGUCGUAGACCCGAAACCAGGUGAUCUACCCUUGGUCAGGUUGAAGUUCAGGUAACACUGAAUGGAGGACCGAACCGACUUACGUUGAAAAGUGAGCGGAUGAACUGAGGGUAGCGGAGAAAUUCCAAUCGAACCUGGAGAUAGCUGGUUCUCUCCGAAAUAGCUUUAGGGCUAGCCUCAAGUGAUGAUUAUUGGAGGUAGAGCACUGUUUGGACGAGGGGCCCCUCUCGGGUUACCGAAUUCAGACAAACUCCGAAUGCCAAUUAAUUUAACUUGGGAGUCAGAACAUGGGUGAUAAGGUCCGUGUUCGAAAGGGAAACAGCCCAGACCACCAGCUAAGGUCCCAAAAUAUAUGUUAAGUGGAAAAGGAUGUGGCGUUGCCCAGACAACUAGGAUGUUGGCUUAGAAGCAGCCAUCAUUUAAAGAGUGCGUAAUAGCUCACUAGUCGAGUGACACUGCGCCGAAAAUGUACCGGGGCUAAACAUAUUACCGAAGCUGUGGAUUGUCCUUUGGACAAUGGUAGGAGAGCGUUCUAAGGGCGUUGAAGCAUGAUCGUAAGGACAUGUGGAGCGCUUAGAAGUGAGAAUGCCGGUGUGAGUAGCGAAAGACGGGUGAGAAUCCCGUCCACCGAUUGACUAAGGUUUCCAGAGGAAGGCUCGUCCGCUCUGGGUUAGUCGGGUCCUAAGCUGAGGCCGACAGGCGUAGGCGAUGGAUAACAGGUUGAUAUUCCUGUACCACCUAUAAUCGUUUUAAUCGAUGGGGGGACGCAGUAGGAUAGGCGAAGCGUGCGAUUGGAUUGCACGUCUAAGCAGUAAGGCUGAGUAUUAGGCAAAUCCGGUACUCGUUAAGGCUGAGCUGUGAUGGGGAGAAGACAUUGUGUCUUCGAGUCGUUGAUUUCACACUGCCGAGAAAAGCCUCUAGAUAGAAAAUAGGUGCCCGUACCGCAAACCGACACAGGUAGUCAAGAUGAGAAUUCUAAGGUGAGCGAGCGAACUCUCGUUAAGGAACUCGGCAAAAUGACCCCGUAACUUCGGGAGAAGGGGUGCUCUUUAGGGUUAACGCCCAGAAGAGCCGCAGUGAAUAGGCCCAAGCGACUGUUUAUCAAAAACACAGGUCUCUGCUAAACCGUAAGGUGAUGUAUAGGGGCUGACGCCUGCCCGGUGCUGGAAGGUUAAGAGGAGUGGUUAGCUUCUGCGAAGCUACGAAUCGAAGCCCCAGUAAACGGCGGCCGUAACUAUAACGGUCCUAAGGUAGCGAAAUUCCUUGUCGGGUAAGUUCCGACCCGCACGAAAGGCGUAACGAUUUGGGCACUGUCUCAACGAGAGACUCGGUGAAAUCAUAGUACCUGUGAAGAUGCAGGUUACCCGCGACAGGACGGAAAGACCCCGUGGAGCUUUACUGUAGCCUGAUAUUGAAAUUCGGCACAGCUUGUACAGGAUAGGUAGGAGCCUUUGAAACGUGAGCGCUAGCUUACGUGGAGGCGCUGGUGGGAUACUACCCUAGCUGUGUUGGCUUUCUAACCCGCACCACUUAUCGUGGUGGGAGACAGUGUCAGGCGGGCAGUUUGACUGGGGCGGUCGCCUCCUAAAAGGUAACGGAGGCGCUCAAAGGUUCCCUCAGAAUGGUUGGAAAUCAUUCAUAGAGUGUAAAGGCAUAAGGGAGCUUGACUGCGAGACCUACAAGUCGAGCAGGGUCGAAAGACGGACUUAGUGAUCCGGUGGUUCCGCAUGGAAGGGCCAUCGCUCAACGGAUAAAAGCUACCCCGGGGAUAACAGGCUUAUCUCCCCCAAGAGUUCACAUCGACGGGGAGGUUUGGCACCUCGAUGUCGGCUCAUCGCAUCCUGGGGCUGUAGUCGGUCCCAAGGGUUGGGCUGUUCGCCCAUUAAAGCGGUACGCGAGCUGGGUUCAGAACGUCGUGAGACAGUUCGGUCCCUAUCCGUCGUGGGCGUAGGAAAUUUGAGAGGAGCUGUCCUUAGUACGAGAGGACCGGGAUGGACAUACCUCUGGUGUACCAGUUGUCGUGCCAACGGCAUAGCUGGGUAGCUAUGUGUGGACGGGAUAAGUGCUGAAAGCAUCUAAGCAUGAAGCCCCCCUCAAGAUGAGAUUUCCCAACUUCGGUUAUAAGAUCCCUCAAAGAUGAUGAGGUUAAUAGGUUCGAGGUGGAAGCAUGGUGACAUGUGGAGCUGACGAAUACUAAUCGAUCGAAGACUUAAUCAA
rnacentral:rRNA from 1 species